UUGUAUUGCGUCCUGGCUGAGUUCUUGUGAAGCUGUAGUCUGUAUUAACUAGUUGUUUCUGUGUUGGUGGAAUGGGUCCUCGCGGGCCUGGAGGACCAGAUUGGGGAGGCCCUGGCCCUGGUUCUUGGGGGCCUUGGUUUGGUGGCUUCUUCGGAUCCUGCUUCUACCUCCUCUGUUGUUGCUGCCUCCUCCAAGAUUGCUGCGGCCCAUUCUUCGGACCCCCGGGCCCAGGCGGCUCACCACCACCACCCUUCUGAUAGCAGCCCAACAUAUCCACCACAACGAAUAAUGCAGGCCUAAAUGUUGGCUGACAAGCGAACAUUCUGGCUGUUGGGAGUACCCCUUGCUACAGUAGUACACACACUACUGAAAAUAAUUGUCCUGUAUAUCUUGGAGAUGACUGUAUGCUCUUACCUAGUUACGUGGCUCUUAUAUUGUUUGUACUGACUGAAUGCAAUUAUCGGUCUAUCUUCAAAAAAAAAGAAUGCAAUUAUGGUUACA